ACUGGUUCUAAAGUAUCAGAAAUCUUAACUAUAAAUCAUAUUAGUAAAAACAGAGUAGUAACAUUUGGCUCUUGAUUGGAUAAGUUCGUUCGUUCUGAAGCCGUUUCCGUAAUGAUUUUCAACUGCGUAGCUCAACGCUCAUUUUCGCUCAUUACCCAAGCAUCUCGUGGUAAACGACAUUUAGGACCCUUAGGAGGUGUUCGUUGUAUAACGUCUAAAAAAACAGAUAAGAUCAUUUAUGAUAAAUUUAACGAUCGUGGCGAUGGGGAGCCCAGUGUAUCAAAAAUGAAUAUUGCCAAGUACAAAGCGAGAAUUUUUACAACAAAUUGGAUGAUUGCUAUUUUUGCAUUAUUUGGUUUCGGUUUUGCCGCAUACCUAAAGUUCGGGCCAAAGAACACAAUAACAAAAACGAUUGAAAAACGUGAACCAUGGUGAAUUAAUCAUUAUUCCCUUGUUUUAAAGGAUGAUUUCGUCUGAAGAUUUUUUACCACCAAUUUGACUUAUUGAAUUCAUUUCCAUACAAUAUUACUAGUUCUAUUUGUCAUAGAUUGUACGAUUUUUAAUGGAUUAUAUAGUCAUGAAUAAAUAAUGAUGAUUGAAAGUAAAAUUAUCACUACUUA
rnacentral:lncRNA from 1 species